rnacentral:rRNA from 1 species
GAUGAACGCUGACAGAAUGCUUAACACAUGCAAGUCAACUGUGGCGGACGGGUGAGUAACGCGUAAAGAACUUGACUCACAGUUAGGGACAACAUUUGGAAAAGAAUGCUAAUACCUGAUACUGUGAGAGAGCUGUGCGUCCCAUUAGCUAGUUGGAGAGGUAACGGCUCACCAAGGCGAUGAUGGGUAGCCGGCCUGAGAGGGUGAUCGGCCACAAGGGGACUGGGACACGGCCAUUACUCCGACUGGAGGCAGCAGUGGGGAAUAGUGGACAAAGGACCAAAGUCUGAUCAAGCAAUUCUGUGUGCACGAUGAAGUUUUCGGAAUGUAAAGUGCUUUAAGUUGGGAAGCGGUACCAACAGAAGAAGUGACGGCUAAAUACGUGCCAGCCGCCGCGGUAAUUC